UAUUCAGGAAAUAUUUUAAAUUCAAUAAAGGUUACAUUCACUUGCCACUGAAAUGGCACAAUGAAAUCUCUGUUUGAAAAUCCAGCAGCCAAUGGGCUUUACAGUUAAAUUUGCCAGGGGAAAACAGACAUUGCUUGGUUGUAAUAGCUGGUAGCUGGCACUAACUUAAUCUGUCACAUUUAGAACUGGAUAUUCCAGCGAAUUCUCCACCCUCUUUCCCACAGAAAAAGAAAGCUGAUUUGGACAUCGGACGAGAACAUGAUUGUGAUACUCUGAACUGUUAAAUAGUUUGAUGCCGUCCACCAUCUGAACUCAGAUGAAUUAAUGCAAAAUCUACAUCAUACAAUGGAUUAUUUCAAGAGAAAGCUGAAGUCAUUUUGAUAAAUAAUGACUGCCCAGGAACCCUUAUAGAAUGAUGAACCUUCCAACAACAAGAGCAGCGAAUGUGCACAGAAACAGAGUACUCAACAUUACCAGAAAAGUAUAACAAAUAAUAAAUCCAUGAUGAUGAAUAAAGGCUUCAAGAAAUCAUGAUUCGAAUAUAUUUACCAGGCUCUUAAAUUCUUUGUAAUGAUCCCCAGCUGAUUUCUUUUUAACCAGUUUAUCACUCAUUAUGCAAUUAGACUACACAGAAAGCAAGUGU